rnacentral:ncRNA from 22 species
CCGCUCCUCGCAGGAGAGAGGGCGUGUACUCCAGCAUACUUCAAGCUACAUGUACGUUGGCAUAAAGUAUAACGCUCCGCCGAAGGCGCAAACUCCCAUAAUCGCUCAGGCUACCCUAACUGCGAAUU